UUGAAUUUAUAAUGCUUUUAUAAAUUAAAGAAAAUUUACAGAAUAAAAACAUACUGGUUUUAAAUGUCCCUCUUCUCCUUUGCCUUCCAAGUCUACAGUGGGGUACUGAUAAAGGUAAUUUAAAUAUAUACAAUCCUUUAGUAAUUUCCUCUCUGUUGGUAUCUUAUUGUUUGUCUUCAGUUACAGAGUUCCUCAAACGUUAAAGACUAAUGUCUCAUCCAGAAGAAAAGAUUUUAAAACAGAAGGCUGUACAAGAUUUUAAAACAGAGAUUUAUAUCGGUUUCAUCACAAUCCUCCCUUUCAAGAAUCUACUUCCUGUUCUGCAAAUCUAUUUGUAAGCAUUUGAAGAUAACUGUUGUGAUGUUGAUUUUUGAGGUGAACUAAGGUUCUGGGAUGGUAAGGAGCUGUGACAGAGUGACGACAUAAAUCCAGAUUUCCACUAUACCAUACGCUACAGUAGUUUACAAUUACCAAGCUUUCUACUGAAGGUCGAAGAAUAUUGGAUUAUCAUUGGUUACUUUAUUAGAAGAAAUAAAAUUACUUAAAAAAAAAAUCAUCACAUUUGUUCCCUGACUCUCAAACAUCGUAUUUGAUUCAGCCUCUACCAAUCUUCCUAGGUAGUUUGGACAUGUUUGUCCUUAAAAAACUGCCCUACUAAGAUGGACUUUUUUUUUUUUUUUUUUUAAAUAACAUCGGUUGUAAAAUGCAAAAAAUACUGAAAACUU